UACGGGGGGAGCAAGCGUUGUUCGGAUUUACUGGGCGUAAAGGGCGCGUAGGCGGUCAGCACAAGUCAGUUGUGAAAUCUCCGGGCUUAACCCGGAAAGGUCAACUGAUACUGUGCGACUAGAGUGCGGAAGGGGCAACUGGAAUUCUCGGUGUAGCGGUGAAAUGCGUAGAUAUCAGGAGGAAUACCGAUGGCGAAGGCAAUCCCCUGGGCCUGCACUGACGCUCAUGCACGAAAGCGUGGGGAGCAAACAGG
rnacentral:rRNA from 1 species